CCCUUAGAUGUUCUGGGCCGCACGCGCGCUACACUGACGAAUGCAACGAGCUUAUAACCUUGGCCGAAAGGUCUGGGUAAUCUCCAAAUUUCGUCGUGAUGGGGAUGGAUUAUUGCAAUUAUUAAUCUUCAACGAGGAAUGCCUAGUAAGCGCAAGUCAUCAGCUUGCGUUGAUUACGUCCCUGCCCUUUGUACACACCGCCCGUCGCUCCUACCGAUUGAAUGGUCCGGUGAAAAUUUUGGAUUGAUGUUUCGUCGGGUUAACGCCAGACUUUACGUUGAGAAGUUAUUCAAACCUUACCAUUUAGAGGAAGGUGAAGUCGUAACA
rnacentral:rRNA from 1 species